GGCGUCUCGCUGUAGUCCCCCUCUGCGUAGUAGCACACCUCGCACUGGAAGCUCGGCCUGACCACGCCGUAAAACCCCCCAACUUCUGAAAAGGUUGACCUCGGAUCAGGUAGGAAUACCCGCUGAACUUAAGCAUAUCAAUAAGCGGAGGAAAAGAAACCAACAGGGAUUGCCCUAGUACGGCGAGUGAAGCGGCAACAGCUCAAAUUUGAAAUCUGGCCCUUGUGGUCCGAGUUGUAAUUUGUAGAGGAUGCUUUUGGUUAGGUGCCUUCCGAGUUCCCUGGAACGGGACGCCAUAGAGGGUGAGAGCCCCGUCUGGUUGGACACCGAGCCUCUGUAAAGCUCCUUCGACGAGUCGAGUAGUUUGGGAAUGCUGCUCUAAAUGGGAGGUAUAUGUCUUCUAAAGCUAAAUAUUGGCCAGAGACCGAUAGCGCACAAGUAGAGUGAUCGAAAGAUGAAAAGCACUUUGAAAAGAGGGUUAAAAAGUACGUGAAAUUGUUGAAAGGGAAGCGCUUGUGACCAGACUUGGGCCCGGUCAAUCAUCCAGGGUUCUCCCUGGUGCACUUUUCCGGCUCAGGCCAGCAUCAGUUUGUCGCGGGGGAUAAAGACGUUGGGAAUGUGGCUCCUCCGGGAGUGUUAUAGCCCUUCGUGUAAUACCCUGCUUCGGACUGAGGUUCGCGCAUCUGCAAGGAUGCUGGCGUAAUGGUCAUCAGCGACCCGUCUUGAAACACGGACCAAGGAGUCGUCUUCGUAUGCGAGUGUUCGGGUAUCAAACCCCUACGCGUAAUGAAAGUGAACGCAGGUGAGAGCUUCGGCGCAUCAUCGACCGAUCCUGAUGUUCUCGGAUGGAUUUGAGUAAGAGCAUACGGGGCCGGACCCGAAAGAAGGUGAACUAUGCCUGUAUAGGGUGAAGCCAGAGGAAACUCUGGUGGAGGCUCGCAGCGGUUCUGACGUGCAAAUCGAUCGUCAAAUAUGGGCAUGGGGGCGAAAGACUAAUCGAACCUUCUAGUAGCUGGUU
rnacentral:rRNA from 1 species